AUUGAACGCUGGCGGCAGGCUUAACACAUGCAAGUCGAGCGGGGGAAGGUAGCUUGCUACCGGACCUAGCGGCGGACGGGUGAGUAAUGCUUAGGAAUCUGCCUAUUAGUGGGGGACAACAUCUCGAAAGGGAUGCUAAUACCGCAUACGUCCUACGGGAGAAAGCAGGGGAUCUUCGGACCUUGCGCUAAUAGAUGAGCCUAAGUCGGAUUAGCUAGUUGGUGGGGUAAAGGCCUACCAAGGCGACGAUCUGUAGCAGGUCUGAGAGGAUGAUCCGCCACACUGGGACUGAGACACGGCCCAGACUCCUACGGGAGGCAGCAGUGGGGAGUAUUGGACAAUGGGGGGAACCCUGAUCUAGCCAUGCCGCGUGUGUGAAGAAGGCCUUAUGGUUGUAAAGCACUUUAAGCUAGGAGGAGGCUACUUUAGUUAAUACCUAGAGAUAGUGGACGUUACUCGCAGAAUAAGCACCGGCUAACUCUGUGCCAGCAGCCGCCGUAA
rnacentral:rRNA from 1 species